UACGUAGGCAGCAAGCGUUGUUCGGAAUUACUGGGCGUAAAGAGUGUGUAGGCGGUGCUCUAAGUGCGGUGGGAAAUCUCCCGGCUCAACUGGGAGGGUGCGCCGAAAACUGGGGUGCUGGAGCGCGGGAGAGGAAAGCGGAAUUCCUGGUGUAGCGGUGAAAUGCGUAGAUAUCAGGAGGAACACCGGCGGUGUAGACGGCUUUCUGGACCGUAGCUGACGCUGAGACACGAAAGCGUGGGGAGCGAACAGG
rnacentral:rRNA from 1 species